rnacentral:rRNA from 1 species
UAGUAGCGGCGAGUGAAGCGGCAAAAGCUCAAAUUUGAAAUCUGGCGCCUUCGGUGUCCGAGUUGUAAAUUUGAAGAUUGUAACCUUGGGGUUGGCUCUUGUCUAUGUUUCUUGGAACAGGACGUCACAGAGGGUGAGAAUCCCGUGCGAUGAGAUGCCCAAUUCUAUGUAAGGUGCUUUCGAAGAGUCGAGUUGUUUGGGAAUGCAGCUCUAAGUGGGUGGUAAAUUCCAUCUAAAGCUAAAUAUUGGCGAGAGACCGAUAGCGAACAAGUACAGUGAUGGAAAGAUGAAAAGAACUUUGAAAAGAGAGUGAAAAAGUACGUGAAAUUGUUGAAAGGGAAGGGUUUGAGAUCAGACUCGAUAUUUUGUGAGCCUUGCCUUCGUGGCGGGGUGACCCGCAGCUUAUCGGGCCAGCAUCGGUUUGGGCGGUAGGAUAAUGGCGUAGGAAUGUGACUUUACUUCGGUGAAGUGUUAUAGCCUGCGUUGAUGCUGCCUGCCUAGACCGAGGACUGCGAUUUUAUCAAGGAUGCUGGCAUAAUGAUCCCAAACCGCCC